rnacentral:rRNA from 1 species
AUGGACGCAAGUCUGAACCAGCCAUGCCGCGUGGAGGAUGAAGGUCCUCUGGAUUGUAAACUUCUUUUAUCUGGGACGAAACACUUCUUUUCUAAGAGGCCUGACGGUACCAGAUGAAUAAGCACAGGCUAACUCCGUGCCAGCAGCCGCGGUAAUACGGAGGGUGCAAGCGUUAUCCGGAUUCACUGGGUUUAAAGGGUGCGUAGGUGGGUAUGUAAGUCAGUGGUGAAAUCCCCGAGCUUAACUUGGGAACUUCCAUUGGUACUAUAUAUCUUGAAUACCGUAGAGGUAAGCGGAAUAAGUCAUGUAGCGGUGAAAUGCUUAGAUAUGACAUGGAACACCAAUUGCGAAGGCAGCUUACUAUGCGGUGAUUGACACUGAGGCACGAAAGCGUGGGUAGCAAACA